AACUUUCAGCAAUGGAUCACUUGGCUCUGGCAUCGAUGAAGAACGCAGCGAAAUGCGAUAAGUAAUGUGAAUCGCAGAAUUCAGUGAAUCAUCGAAUUUUUGAACGCAUAUUGCGCCCCUUGGUAUUCCGAGGGGCAUGCCUGUCCGAGCGUCAUAAUCAUCCCUCGAGCUCUGCUUGGUAUUGGGCCGCGUUGGCGACGACGGGUCUUAAUUAUAGUGGCGGCGUCGCGAGGUUUCUAGCGUAGUACAUUUCUCGCUACGGGUCUUUGCGGGCGACGACUAGCAACUUCCAAGGUUGACCUCGGAUCAGGUAGGAAUACCCGCUGAACUUAAGCAUAUCAAUAAGCGGAGGCU
rnacentral:misc_RNA from 1 species